rnacentral:rRNA from 1 species
GAUGAACGCUGGCGGCGUGCCUAAUACAUGCAAGUCGAGCGAACGGACGAGAAGCUUGCUUCUCUGAUGUUAGCGGCGGACGGGUGAGUAACACGUGGAUAACCUACCUAUAAGACUGGGAUAACUUCGGGAAACCGUAGCUAAUACCGGAUAAUAUUUUGAACCGCAUGGUUCAAAAGUGAAAGACGGUCUUGCUGUCACUUAUAGAUGGAUCCGCGCUGCAUUAGCUAGUUGGUAAGGUAACGGCUUACCAAGGCAACGAUGCAUAGCCGACCUGAGAGGGUGAUCGGACACCCGGGAACUGAGACACGGUACAGACUCCUACGGGAGGAAGCAGUAGGGAAUCUUACGCAAUGGGCGAAAGCCUGACGGAGCAACGACGCGUGAGUGAUGAAGGUCUUCGGAUCGGAAAACUCUGUUAGUAGGGAAGAACAUAUGUGUAAGUAACUGUGCACAUAUUGACGGUACCUGAUCAGAAAGCCACGGCUAACUACGUG